UGGGGAAUAUUGCACAAUGGGGGAAACCCUGAUGCAGCAAUGCCGCGUGUGUGAAGAAGGCCUGCGGGUUGUAAAGCACUUUCGAUAGGGAAGAUUAUGACGGUACCUAUAGAAGAAGCACCGGCUAACUCCGUGCCAGCAGCCGCGGUAAUACGGAGGGUGCGAGCGUUAAUCGGAAUUACUGGGCGUAAAGCGCGCGUAGGUGGCUAUGUAAGUCGGAUGUGAAAGCCCCGGGCUUAACCUGGGAACUGCAUUCGAUACUGCAUAGCUAGAGUAUGGAAGAGGGAAGUGGAAUUCCGGGUGUAGCGGUGAAAUGCGUAGAUAUCCGGAGGAACAUCAGUGGCGAAGGCGACUUCCUGGGCCAAUACUGACACUGAGGUGCGAAAGCGUGGGUAGCAAACAGGAUUAGAUACCCCCGUAGUCC
rnacentral:rRNA from 1 species